AGAGUUUGAUCCUGGCUCAGAAUCAACGCUGGCGGCGCGCUUAACACAUGCAAGUCGCACGAGAAAGGGAGCAAUCCUAAGUAAAGUGGCGCACGGGUGAGUAACACGUGGAUCAUCUACCUUUUAGUGGGGAAUACCUCUGGGAAACCGGAGACAAUACCGCAUAAGCCCGCAAGGGGAAAGCAGCAAUGCGCUGAAAGAGGAGUCCGCGGCCGAUUAGCUAGUUGGCGGGGUAACGGCCCACCAAGGCGAAGAUCGGUAGCCGGCCUGAGAGGGCACACGGCCACACUGGCACUGAAACACGGGCCAGACUCCUACGGGAGGCAGCAGUGGGGAAUCUUGCACAAUGGGCGAAAGCCUGAUGCAGCGACGCCGCGUGAGCGAUGAAGCCCUUCGGGGUGUAAAGCUCUUUCGACGGGAACGAUAAUGACGGUACCCGGAGAAGAAGCUGCGGCUAACUACGUGCCAGCAGCCGCGGUAAUACGUAGGCAGCGAGCGUUGUUCGGAAUUACUGGGCGUAAAGAGUGUGUAGGCGGUGUUCCCAGUCUGUUGUGAAAUCUCCCGGCUUAACUGGGAGGGUGCAGCGGAAACUAGAAUGCUAGAGGGUGGGAGAGGUAAGCGGAAUUCCUGGUGUAGCGGUGAAAUGCGUAGAUAUCAGGAGGAACACCUGGUGUAGACAGCUUACUGGACCACUUCUGACGCUGAGACACGAAAGCGUGGGUAGCAAACAGGAUUAGAUACCCUCGUAGUCC
rnacentral:rRNA from 1 species